UUAUUUUGGAGUCAAAAGGCCUCCUUUCACCGAACGCGUCCCUGAGGAGUGACCAAGGAAUGUGAAUGGAAAUUGUAUUGCAGCUGAUUCUUGCUCUUCGCUUCCCUUUUAAAAAAGAAAUAAAGGGAGAGAGAGAUUCCUGGUUUUUUGGAGAUGACAAGGUUAUCAACAGAGGGAGAUGCGAUUCGUGGGUGGUGGUGGCGGCGGUGGCAAUGGUGAAGAAUUUGGUGUUUGUCUUUUCCCCCGCGAAUAUCACGGAAGCUGGCUGGCUGGCUUUGCCUUUAAAUAUGUUUUUG
rnacentral:misc_RNA from 1 species